CCCUUAGAUGUUCUGGGCCGCACGCGCGCUACACUGACGAAUGCAACGAGCUUAUAACCUUGGCCGAAAGGUCUGGGUAAUCUCCAAAUUUCGUCGUGAUGGGGAUAGAUUAUUGCAAUUAUUAAUCUUCAACGAGGAAUGCCUAGUAAGCGCAAGUCAUCAGCUUGCGUUGAUUACGUCCCUGCCCUUUGUACACACCGCCCGUCGCUCCUACCGAUUGAAUGGUCCGGUGAAGCGUUCGGACCGUGGCCUUUGGACGGUUCGCCGUCUGUUGGCUGCGGGAAGUUCGUUAAACCUUAUCAUUUAGAGGAAGGAGAAGUCGUAACAA
rnacentral:rRNA from 1 species